rnacentral:rRNA from 1 species
UACGAAGGGGGCUAGCGUUGCUCGGAAUCACUGGGCGUAAAGGGCGCGUAGGCGGCCGGCCAAGUCGAGGGUGAAAGCCUGUGGCUCAACCACAGAAUGGCCCUCGAUACUGGACGGCUCGAGACCGGAAGAGGUUGGUGGAAUUGCGAGUGUAGAGGUGAAAUUCGUAGAUAUUCGCAAGAACACCGGUGGCGAAGGCGGCCAACUGGUCCGGAUCUGACGCUGAGGCGCGAAAGCGUGGGGAGCAAACAGG